rnacentral:rRNA from 1 species
UGGGGAAUAUUGGACAAUGGGCGAAAGCCUGAUCCAGCCAUGCCGCGUGGAUGAUGAAGGCCCUAGGGUUGUAAAGUCCUUUCGACGGGGAAGAUAAUGACGGUACCCGUAGAAGAAGCCCCGGCUAACUUCGUGCCAGCAGCCGCGGUAAUACGAAGGGGGCUAGCGUUGCUCGGAAUCACUGGGCGUAAAGCGCACGUAGGCGGUUUUCUAAGUCAGGGGUGAAAUCCCGGGGCUCAACUCCGGAACUGCCUUUGAUACUGGAGAACUUGAGUUCGGGAGAGGUGAGUGGAACUGCGAGUGUAGAGGUGAAAUUCGUAGAUAUUCGCAAGAACACCAGUGGCGAAGGCGGCUCACUGGCCCGAUACUGACGCUGAGGUGCGAAAGCGUGGGGAGCAAACA